rnacentral:rRNA from 1 species
AGGACGAACGCUGGCGGCGUGCUUAACACAUGCAAGUCGAGCGGAAAGGCCCUUCGGGGUACUCGAGCGGCGAACGGGUGAGUAACACGUGAGCAACCUGCCCUUAGCUUCGGGAUAGCUCCGGGAAACCGGAAUUAAUACCGGAUAUGACAACGGCUGGCAUCAGCCAUUGUGGAAAGUUUUUCGGCUAGGGAUGGACUCGCGGCCUAUCAGCUAGUUGGUGAGGUAACGGCUCACCAAGGCGACGACGGGUA